rnacentral:rRNA from 1 species
GUGGGGAAUAUUGGACAAUGGGCGAAAGCCUGAUCCAGCCAUGCCGCGUGUGUGAAGAAGGUCUUCGGAUUGUAAAGCACUUUAAGUUGGGAGGAAGGGCAGUAAGUUAAUACCUUGCUGUUUUGACGUUACCGACAGAAUAAGCACCGGCUAACUUCGUGCCAGCAGCCGCGGUAAUACGAAGGGGGCUAGCGUUGCUCGGAAUUACUGGGCGUAAAGCGCGCGUAGGUGGUUUUGUAAGUUGAAGGUGAAAUCCCCGGGCUCAACCUGGGAACUGCCUCCAAAACUGCAUGACUAGAGUACGGUAGAGGGUAGUGGAAUUUCCUGUGUAGCGGUGAAAGGCGUAGAUAUAGGAAGGAACACCAGUGGCGAAGGCGACUACCUGGACUGAUACUGACACUGAGGUGCGAAAGCGUGGGGAGCAAACAGGAUUAGAUACCCUGUGUAGUCC